rnacentral:lncRNA from 1 species
GAGGAUAUGGUAAUUUAGUGUCCAUUAUGGUGUUUCUUAAUUGCUUUUUGCUUUUUAUUUUAUCUAUCGGAUUUUAAUCUAAAGAUUAAAAAUCUGUGUGAUACGAUUAUAAAAAUCUUUCGAAAGAUGUAUAGGUACUCCCAUACUUUAAUUACAAGUAUCACUCGUUCUUCUAGCUGAAAACUCAUUUUUGAGAUGAUGGACAGUGUCACUGCGGAGGUCACGAAGAGGUACACAUUAGUGUUCUGUUUCAUUCUUCCUGCAAACAAAAAGGUUGUAUUAAAGGGGAUCAUGAAUUAGAUGUGAAAGUCCUUCAACACAUAUGCAUGACUGAAUGAAUUGGCUGUUGCCCGAAUGCAGGAGCAACCAAUAUAAAUAUAAGAUCAUUUCUUUCAUAAGUAGUUCAGAGUUUUACAGUUUUGCAUACACUCUACACAACCCUUAAAACACAUUUCAACUUUCUGAUAUGUUUAUUGAAUCUAGUUUAUACGUGCCAUUUGACUGUACUGCAUACGAGAUGUUGGAGUAAACCAACCAUACCCAUGCAAUAGGAGGGUGAGCAAAUAAUGUUGCGAAUAGAAAUAGGAGAUACUUGUAGUAAAUAAGUUCAAAUGUUUAUGUUCUAAUUAAUUCUAGUUCGUAAAAUAGACGGUGGGGUAUAUAGUUGUAUAAAAGUGCACCAUGUACUUCAGCAGCACAAUGGUUGCAAAGAACAUCAAAUUGUGCACACUCUUUCGUAGAAUAGGAACCAUCAACUGUUUGAUAAAUCCGGUUUGGAUGAGGUAUUAUGUACUGUUUAAAUAAACUUGUCUUAGUUCAAAAAUUGAAUAUCUCUUUCUAUUACUAUGUAUUACAACAUGUCCAAUGUAUCCUGCUCUAGUCGGCAUUAGUACUCAAUUUUUUGUUGUGAGGCCAUACAACAUAAUGCGGUAGUAAGAUAGGGGCAUCAGUACUCAAUUUGGUGUGGAGCCAUGCAAUAUAAUGAGGUAGUAAGAUAGUAAGAUAGGGGCAUCAGUACUCAAUUUGGUAGUAAGAUAGGUGCAUCAGUACCGGAAAUGCUGUUCGGUGAUCGAUCACUCUGGCCCCUCCCCCUCCCUCCCUCCACCUGGUUUCCUUUUUUGACACCGCAUUACUUUCCUAUUUUAGUAAAUUUAUACACCUAAAGUUUAUACACCUCAAGUUUACACAUCUAAAGUUUAGAGACCAAAAGUUUAUAAGUCAAAAGUUUAUAUAUCCGAUUCAAAUUUGAAUUUGAAUUUAAAUAUUUUUUUAUAUAUAGUAUUUCUAUACAUGUAAAGUUUAUACACCUAAAGUUUAUAGACCUAAAG